GUGGCCAUAGGAUAGUGGUAGUCCGGCAGCUUGUGGCUCUGCUUACGGGGCGCAAGAUGUCCGGGGGACAUCUGUUCUGCGCCGACCGAAGCGGAGCGGAGACCGAUUCCCCCCUGGUCACCCCA
rnacentral:tRNA from 1 species